rnacentral:lncRNA from 1 species
AGUGCUGUGGCACAGUCUUGGCUCACUGCAACCUCUGCCUCCCGGGUUCAAGGGAUUCUCCUGCCUCAGCCUCCCGAGUAGCUGGGAUUACAGGCGCCUGCCACCACGCCCGGCUAAUUUUUGUGAUUUUUUUUUUAGUGGAGACGAGGUUUCACUAUGUAGGCGAAGCUGGUGUCGAACUCCUGACCUCAGAUGAUCCACCCGCCUCAGCCUCCCAAAGUGCUAAGAUUACAGGCGUGAGCCACCGCGCCUGACCUGUUUAUUCUCUUAAGAGAGAAAAUGAGGGGAUUAGUGGACUGUAGUUCUGGACAAGGUGGAAAACUCUUAAAGUGGAAGUAUUGGGGUGGUGGAAAGGAAAUCCCUCACAGCAACUGGCACCAUAAUCAAGACAAUGUUUGCAGAAUAAAUGGAGUUACCUGCUUUCAGCCCCGGGUCGUAGCUAUUGUCUGCCCUGCUGAUAUGUGAUAAUAAUUUGUGAUCCUGUUGUCUUAAAAUGGGGUCACUCAUCUCCAGUAGAAUUAAGUCCACAGUGAAGUUGUCCCCCCAUCCCCAAAGAGAUAAACAUAUAUGAAUGAACUCACGUGAUAACAACUACUGCUGCCUGGGAUCGUGAGAGACCUGAACUGAACUGAUAGGAAGUGAAAGGUGGCUGAGAUAAUGAGAAUAGACCCAUCUGCAGAGGAUCAUAAAACCAGCAAAGACAAGAUCUUGUCUAAGAUGCCUUCACAAACUUUGUCUGUGAGAACUCUUAAGGAUUUCACCAGACCUGUUGGCUGCUGCUGUGAUCUCUGCCCAAGAGGAGCCUCUGACCAACAUCCAAAGGGCUUCU